rnacentral:rRNA from 1 species
GACGUAGGGGCCGAGCGUUGUCCGGAGUUACUGGGCGUAAAGGGCGCGCAGGCGGUUCUCCGCAUCUCUGGUGAAAGCCCCGAGCUUAACUCGGGAGGUCCAGGGAGAUGGGGGGACUUGAGGCGAGGCGAGGGCGGUGGAAUUCCGGGUGUAGUGGUGAAAUGCGUAGAGCUCCGGAGGAACACCAGUGGCGAAGGCGGCCGCCUGGACCUGACCUGGACCGCUGAGGCGCGAAGGCGGUGGGG